CCCGAUUCGAACGUUAUCACUCGAUUGAAUGGGGCGUUAUCAGCGGUUAUCAGCCCAUAGAAAUGGGCCAGGAGGGGCCUCCUGUGCCUACUAGUAGGCUCAGAAGGCCGUGAUCAUCCAUCCAAAUGGUUGAUCACCCACAAAUAUACAAGAGAAGACUCCAGAUCCAAUCCCAGAAUUCCUGCUCACCUGUAAUCGGAAGUCUACUGGACGAAAGCGGCAACGUUGCGAUAUUUCCUGCUUAAUAUUUUCAGGCACAAUGAAUGAUAUUAAGGGCAGGUGCGCCACAUUGGGGGAAGAUGCAAAGCAGAAAUACAUUCAAGAGGCAGCAGCACUGAGGGCACAUGGGCAGGCACAGGACACUAAACCCUGAGAUGGAGGCAAUUUGUGCUGUGUCUGCCACGUCCAUUUUGAUGAUAAGAAGAAGAAUGCAAGAAAGAAGUGGCGUUCAUGGUCUCAGUGCACAGUGUGCCAAUCAUGGUCACACACAGCAUGUGGCUUUAAAAAGAACAUGUGCGUUCACUACCAGUCUCAAGACACCAUGCAAACACCCUGAAGAUGUAUCUUGUUACUUGUUUGGGUUGUUUUUACUGUGUUGACGGCCCCCAACCCAUCCAUACAAACACACACACACACACACAAUACAUACAUAGUCUGCAAAUUCAUUGUAAUGACCAUACUUCACACGUAAGAAGAAAAUUGUGAUCUUUUUGUUAUUUUCAUUCCCCCCAAUUUUUAUUUAUUGUUGUUUGUUGGCACCAUCAAUGUGGUCUCCUUUAUACUGGACUUAUGUGGGGACCAAUAAAGUUAUAUUGUACUGAAUUGAG